rnacentral:misc_RNA from 1 species
GCAAACUUGGUCAUUUAGAGGAAGUAAAAGUCGUAACAAGGUCAUCGUAGGUGAACCUGCGGUGGGAUCAUUCACGAAGAUACCCGGACGUUGAUAGCCGAGCCUGAGAAACCGAGCGUUUCUUGAGCCAGGCGUCUGCGGACGGGAAAUCCAAUGGAAACCUUGUGUGCACUGUCGCUCUGCGAUCUCUUUUGGCGCGCACAUUUGAGUUGUUCGCUUGCGGGCGGGCAGCCGGGGUGCGCGCCAGAGACUUUGGCUUAUUACGUGGUUUUGUUGUAAGUCUGAAAUUUCAAAUGAAAAUGAAAAUACAACUUUCAACAACGGAUCUCUUGGCUCUCGCAUCGAUGAAGAACGCAGC